rnacentral:rRNA from 1 species
GGAUGCCUUAGUUACGGCGAGUGAAGCGGCAAAAGCUCAAAUUUGAAAUCUGGCACCUUCGGUGUCCGAGUUGUAAUUUGAAGAAGCUACUUUGGGGCUAGUCCUUGUCUAUGUUCCUUGGAACAGGACGUCAUGGAGGGUGAGAAUCCCGUAUGGCGAGGAGUCUAGUCCUAUGUAAAGUGCUUUCGACGAGUCGAGUUGUUUGGGAAUGCAGCUCUAAGUGGGUGGUAAAUUCCAUCUAAAGCUAAAUAUUGGCGAGAGACCGAUAGCGAACAAGUACAGUGAUGGAAAGAUGAAAAGAACUUUGAAAAGAGAGUGAAAAAGUACGUGAAAUUGUUGAAAGGGAAGGGCAUUUGAUCAGACAUGGUGUUUUGCGACCCUCGCUCCUUGUGGGUGGGGAUCUCGCAGCUCACUGGGCCAACAUCAGUUUUGGCGGUAGGAUAAAUCUUUGGGAACGUGGCUUGUCUUCGGAGAAGCGUUAUAGCCCAGGGGAAUACUGCCAGCCGGGACUGAGGACUGCGACUUUUGUCAAGGAUGUUGGCAUAAUGGUUAAAUGCCGCCCGUCUUGAACCACGGACCAAG